rnacentral:tRNA from 2 species
GGGCGAUUAGCUCAGUUGGUUAGAGCAUCUCGUUUACACCGAGAGGGUCCGCGGUUCGAGUCCGUGAUCGCCCACCA